UUGGGGAUGGGCUCGCGGCCUAUUAGCUAGUUGGUGAGGUAACGGCCCACCAAGGCGACGAUCAGUAGCCGGACUGAGAGGUUGAACGGCCACAUUGGGACUGAGAUACGGCCCAGACUCCUACGGGAGGCAGCAGUGGGGAAUAUUGGUCAAUGGACGCAAGUCUGAACCAGCCAUGCCGCGUGCAGGAUGACGGCUCUAUGAGUUGUAAACUGCUUUUGUACGAGGGUAAACGCAGAUACGUGUAUCUGUCUGAAAGUAUCGUACGAAUAAGGAUCGGCUAACUCCGUGCCAGCAGCCGCGGUAAUACGGAGGAUUCAAGCGUUAUCCGGAUUUAUUGGGUUUAAAGGGUGCGUAGGCGGUUUGAUAAGUUAGAGGUGAAAUUUCGGGGCUCAACCCUGAACGUGCCUCUAAUACUGUUGAGCUAGAGAGUAGUUGCGGUAGGCGGAAUGUGUGGUGUAGCGGUGAAAUGCUUAGAGAUCAUACAGAACACCGAUUGCGAAGGCAGCUUACCAAACUAUAUCUGACGUUGAGGCACGAAAGCGUGGGGAGCAAACAGGAUUAGAUACCCUGGUAGUCCACGCAGUAAACGAUGAAAAGUCGUUGUCGGCGAUACACAGUCGGUGACUAAGCGAAAGCGGAUUAAGUUAUCCACCUGGGGAGUACGUUCGCAAGAAUGAACAAUAAGGAAUUGACGGGGGCCCGCACCAAGCGGGAGAACAUGUGGUUUAAUUCGGAUGAUACGCGAGGAACCUUACCCGGGCUUGAAAGUUAGUGACGAUUCUGGAAACAGGAUUUCCCUUCGGGGCACGAAACUAGGUGCUGCAUGGUUGUCGUCAGCUCGUGCCGUGAGGUGUCGGCUUAAGUGCCAUAACGAGCGCAACCCUUAUCGAUAGUUACUAGCAGGUUAUGCUGAGGACUCUAUCGAGACUGCCGUCGUAAGAUGUGAGGAAGGUGGGGAUGACGUCAAAUCAGCACGGCCCUUACGUCCGGGGCUACACACGUGUUACAAUGGGGGGUACAGAAGGCAGCUACACGGCGACGUGGUGCUAAUCCCGAAAGCCUCUCUCAGUUCGGAUUGGAGUCUGCAACCCGACUCCAUGAAGCUGGAUUCGCUAGUAAUCGCGCAUCAGCCAUGGCGCGGUGAAUACGUUCCCGGGCCUUGUACACAAAGCCCGUCAAG
rnacentral:rRNA from 1 species